AUUGAACGCUGGCGGCAUGCUUUACACAUGCAAGUCGAACGGUAACAGGCCUUCGGGUGCUGACGAGUGGCGAACGGGUGAGUAAUGCAUCGGAACGUACCCAGUGGUGGGGGAUAACGCAGCGAAAGCUGUGCUAAUACCGCAUGUGCUCUGAGGAUGAAAGCGGGGGACCGAGCAGCAAUGUUUGGCCUCGCGCCUUUGUAGCGGCCGAUGUCGGAUUAGCUAGUUGGUGGGGUAAAGGCCUACCAAGGCGACGAUCCGUAGCUGGUCUGAGAGGACGACCAGCAACACUGGGACUGAGACACGGCCCAGACUCCUACGGGAGGCAGCAGUGGGGAAUUUUGGACGAUGGGCGCAAGCCUGAUCCAGCAAUGCCGCGUGCGGGAAGAAGGCCUUCGGGUUGUAGACCGCUUUUGGCAGGAGCGAAACGGUGUCCGCUAAUACCGGGCGCUAAUGACGGUACCUGCAGAAUAAGCACCGGCUAACUACGUG
rnacentral:rRNA from 1 species